GGCUCCUACGGGGCGCAGCAGUAGGGAAUCUUCCACAAUGGACGAAAGUCUGAUGGAGCAACGCCGCGUGAGUGAAGAAGGGUUUCGGCUCGUAAAGCUCUGUUGGUAGUGAAGAAAGAUAGAGGUAGUAACUGGCCUUUAUUUGACGGUAAUUAAUUAGAAAGUCACGGCUAACUACGUGCCAGCAGCCGCGGUAAUAAGUAGGGGGCAAGCGUUGUCCGGAUUUAUUGGGGCUAAAG
rnacentral:rRNA from 1 species